GCGCGGGUGGCGGAACUGGCAGACGCGUACGUUUGAGGUGCGUAUGCCGCAAGGCGUGAGGGUUCGAGUCCCUCCCCGCGCA
rnacentral:tRNA from 1 species